UCUUGUUGUAUACUGUAUUUGUGUCUGCCUGUCCGGUUCUGAUCACUUUGGAUUAUCUGUUACUUCUUUCUGGACCUCCUACACAUACCUUCUGCAGGUUGUUUAAGCUCCAAAAGGCAGAGAGGUAAGUGAAAAAUCCCCUCUAACACAUUAUGGGCCUUGACACCGCUUCAACUCCUGUAGCAUAGUGACGUUUGCCAACCAGAAUGCUCUGUGAUCUCAUUAUACUAAUGGACACCUAAGGGCAAGAGCGGGUGCAGCUCUAGAAAUGUCCAGAACUCGCCACGCUUUUGGCACGUCCUCCAGCUUCUCCUGGGGGAUCCAGAGGCAUACCCGAGCCACAUGGGAUAUGUAAUCUGCCGAGAUGUGGGUCUGCCCUGGGCUCCACAGGGAUGUGUCCAGGUCAGAUGCUUGAACCACCUCAACUGGCUUUUUUACUCAUGGGAAGGAAAGAGCUGCAGGUCUACACGCUCUAUAGAGAUGUCUGAUCUCAGGUGUAUGUAUCUGUGUGUUUGUGUCACACCCACUUGAGAAACUGAAUGAGCAGCCUCGCGUAGCCCAGCAUCAUGUUAGGCUCCAGGUUCGGCAGCGUGACCAACUCAUAAAGCAGCUUGAUGAAGAGAAUGUGGUCCUCUUUGCUGAACCUGCGGCCGUACAGCUUCAGAAACCUAAUGGAUGGAGAACGGUCCAUCAGUGAGCAGAUACUAACUACUUCCUUCAGCUGACCGAUAUCCUAAAAACAUCGUAAGAGAAAAAAAUCACAAAAUAUAUAUUUAUAUAGCACCUUUUUUUAAUGUCAGAUAUUACUUUCAAUAAAAGCGGAACACAUUUUAAACACACUGACUGAAAAACUGAACCUAAUUGUACAGAACA